rnacentral:rRNA from 1 species
CCUACGGGGUGCAGCAGUGAGGAAUAUUGGUCAAUGGGCGAGAGCCUGAACCAGCCAAGUCGCGUGAAGGAUGACGGCCCUACGGGUUGUAAACUUCUUUUGUCAGGGAGCAAUUGAGUCCACGUGUGGUCUUAGCGAGAGUACCUGAAGAAAAAGCAUCGGCUAACUCCGUGCCAGCAGCCGCGGUAAUACGGAGGAUGCGAGCGUUAUCCGGAUUUAUUGGGUUUAAAGGGUGCGUAGGCGGAAUAUCAAGUCAGCGGUAAAAAUUCGGGGCUCAACCCCGUCGUGCCGUUGAAACUGAUGUUCUUGAGUGGGCGAGAAGUAUGCGGAAUGCGCGGUGUAGCGGUGAAAUGCAUAGAUAUCGCGCAGAACCCCGAUUGCGAAGGCAGUGUGCCGUGCCGCCACUGACGCUGAGGCACGAAAGCGCGGGGAUCGAACAGGAUUAGAUACCCUAGUAGUC